CCGUAGGUGAACCUGCGGA
rnacentral:ncRNA from 2 species